UACGUAGGGUGCGAGCGUUAAUCGGAAUUACUGGGCGUAAAGCGUGCGCAGGCGGUCCGCAAAGUCUGAUGUGAAAGCCCCGGGCUCAACCCGGGAACUGCGUCCGAUACUGGAAGGCUUGAAUCCGGGAGAGGGAUGUGGAAUUCCAGGUGUAGCGGUGAAAUGCGUAGAUAUCUGGAGGAACACCGGUGGCGAAGGCGACAUCCUGGACCGGUAUUGACGCUGAGGCGCGAAAGCCAGGGGAGCAAACGGG
rnacentral:rRNA from 1 species